AUGCUUGUCUCAAAGAUUAAGCCAUGCAUGUCUAAGUACAUACCUUUGCACGGUGAAACCGCGAAUGGCUCAUUAAAUCAGUUAUGGUUUCUUAGAUCGUUCUUUUUACAUGGAUAACUGUGGUAAUUCUAGAGCUAAUACAUGCAAAAAGCUCCGACCGUAUGGGAAGAGCGCUUUUAUUAGACCAAAACCAAUGGGGUCGCAAGACUCCUUUGUAUGGUGACUCUGGAUAACUUUAUGCUGAUCGCAUGGCCUAGAGCCGGCGACGUAUCUUUCAAGUGUCUGACCUAUCAACUUUCGAUGGUAAGCGAUUUGCCUACCAUGGUUGCAACGGGUAACGGGGAAUA
rnacentral:rRNA from 1 species